CCUGGCGGCUGUAGCGCGGUGGUCCCACCUGACCCCAUGCCGAACUCAGAAGUGAAACGCCGUAGCGCCGAUGGUAGUGUGGGGUCUCCCCAUGUGAGAGUAGGGAACCGCCAGGU
rnacentral:rRNA from 1 species